rnacentral:rRNA from 1 species
UACAGAGGGGGCGAGCGUUAUCCGGAAUUACUGGGCGUAAAGCGCACGCAGGCGGUUCGCCAAGUUUGGAGUGACAGUUGUCGGCUCAACCGACAAAGGACUUCAAAAACUGGUGAACUUGAGGACGAGAGAGGAACAUGGAACUCCAGGUGUAGUAGUGAAAUGCGUAGAUAUCUGGAAGAACACCAAUGGCGAAGGCAAUGUUCUGGCUCGUUUCUGACGCUCAGGUGCGAAAGCCAGGGGAGCGAACGGG